rnacentral:lncRNA from 1 species
UCGUUUUUUCUUUUUUUUUUUUUGUAUCUUAUCAAAAGUCUGUUUUAUUUUCAAUACAAGAUAAAUACCAUGCUUGUUACUAGUGCAGUUUAAGGCCAACAAUGGCCAUAUAUCAAACUGCCGAACAGUCACCUAAAUGCUAAAGAAAGGAAAGACAAAGUAAACAUUAAACACAAAAUUGCAAUUACAAACAUUUUAAUAAAAUGGAAUGAGCUUUUUAAUAGAAGCUAAUAUGAAGUCUAAUUCUCAUGGACAGCGAAAAAAAAAAAAAAAGUCUAUUAGAUCAAUUAUCACCUUACCUUUUUGCACAGAAAUCUUAUUGUGAAGUCACCAUAGAGUCAAUAGCUAAAAUUUUAAGACUUUCUUUGGCCUUCUGAUAUUAAACAAAUUAUUUACAAACUGUGAUCAGUAAUUCAUGGAUAUUGGUAAAAUGAUACAAUUUUUUUUGUUGUUAAGGGCUUUCCAUUAAAAAUUGUAAAACAACUUUGUAAGGCUGUACAGGGCUGUAAACUACUUUGCUAAUAUACCAUGGGAUGCAGAGGAAGGAAGAAUAGACCUUUUUUUUUUUAAGGCUAAAGUUAUCAAUAUUAUAGAUGCAUUCCUUAAAAUACAUUAUGAUUUAUACCCAAAGGAUCCUUUCCCAUUAAAUACCACCUGAGUACUACAAUUUUCAAAGUAAAAAAAUAAACAUGAAUUCACCAUAGUUAUUUUAAAAUAAUUUAACUUACAGAAUGUUGAGAAGUGUUACGCAGUAACAGUGCGACAAAAAGAACACACUUUCAAAACAAAAUGUUUUUGCUAAAUGCAGGGUCUGUCCAAUUAUGAAAUUAAUGUAAAACAUUUACACCCAUGGCAGAGUUUUAGGAUACUCCCACAUGAAAAAAACUCUUGGUAGUAUUUACUAUGCAGUUACCACUUCAAGAUGUGUGUGACUUCAAUUAAAUUCGACCUAGUAUUUAAAAGACUCCAUUACAAUAUGUUAAUUAAUACAGCAGGAAGUCUUUAAAGACAUUAAAAUCUGUCUGUAUAUAAUCAAGUAUUUAUACAUCCCAUACAAAAACCACAGUAGCUGCAUACUCAGUGAAUGCCACAACCUGAAAUUCUAAAAAAAGAACAUUGGUUAAGACAAACCUAAAUCAAUCUGAACAGUGUUGCCUGAAUAUUUAGAAUAUUCACAAAAAUUCAUAUUGCUUCUUUCUAAUGCCAAGAAAGAAGAGUAUAAGAACCUCCUCCCAGAAGCCUAGACAUUUUAAUACAUUUUCUAUUUCAACUUACAAUGAAACUUUAAUCCUGAAUCUUGAUUUAUCUAAAUCAAAAAUCUCACAUUACGAACACAAGGAAUGCCAUAUGUAAGGCCACAUCUUAAUAAAUUUAUAAUUUUUGGUUGAAUAUUUAUUGAAAAAAAUCAGUCUAAGGCUUCUAAGAGUCAAGUUGCUUAAAAAAAUAAAACAAAUACACCAGUGUUUAAACUGAAGGUUAAAAAACGCAUACACACACACACACACACACACACUGUAAGAACAGAAAAAUAGAAUGCUUUGCUACAAAAAUCCCACUUAAUAUAUUUUAGCACAAACAUGUCUAAUAUACACUGGAUAAGCGUGCAUUUACGUACAUACAACUAGGGGAAACAUUUACAGAAGGCUACGGGAUGCAAAUGAACUUAAUGAGUAAUAAAAACCAGUUGUUAUCUGUAAAACAGAGAGAAUCUCAAUACUGUAUUCUCAGUCAAGAAUUAGAACAUAAACUUCCUCUUAAGCUGAAGCUUAAAACACAAAAUUGGAGCCAUUUUAGAAAAUACAGAAAAUGCAAUGAUCACUCAGGUAUGAAAACCAAAAUGUCGAGAGCACUCCAACAGAAAAGUCUUGUAAUGCAUCUCAUUGUAUAAAACAGUAUGUAUUUAGAUUGGCACAGUUAAAUACAUAAGGGAAAGAGAAAGUCUUUACCCUUUCCACAAUUUUCCUUCACUAUAAAAUAUUAUACAACAUUCAUUAAAACCUCCAUGUUUAUUUUAAUAACUGACCUGAAACUAGUAAAAAAUAAAGCAAUAUUCUCCACAGGAGAAUUAAAUGAAAAUAGUAUCUUAAGCUACAAGUUAUCUGUGUAUUCCAAAUUGUCAUUAACUGCUUAAGAACAUUCUAGGUAAAAGGACCAUUAAAUGGGCUAAACUAUGAUCAAAAGCCACUGCAACUUACUCCAAACCUUAUGAAAAUUGACAAAAAAAAAAUACACAUCUGCAAAUUUAAACUGGAAUAUGCUUUCCACAACAUAGUUCCUUUAACCAAAAGCAGCACUUUCAAUCCAAAGUGUUGCCUGAGAAGCAGUACCAUUCAGGUACUGUAUCACUCAUCUGUUUAACUUUACUACUGGCUGAAAGGAAUGUGACUAUAUAGCACUAAUAAAUGCUAUGUUUUAAAAUUCAACUUGUUUGUUUUCAUAUCCACUACAGUUAUUAACUAAGGAAAAAACAAAAAGUCUCUGAGACACUGUUUUUGGUGUCUAUGCAAGGAUUUAUCUCUUUGGAUUGUUUUUAAACAUUAAAAAAAGGAAGAGUUUUCAAAUAACAUCAACCCAUAAACAACUGAAGGGGGUAUGAAGAACGAAACAAGGCUUGCAAUUUUCACCUUUACUGCUAUACAUUCACGUGUUAUCAGGUAGAGAAGGACUUUGCAAAAUUACUUGGUCAAACCAAGAAGUUAUUUCCUUCUGACAACACUUAAAAUAACGGAUUAGCAGCAAACAAAUUAGUACACUCACACUGUCUGCAA